UAUUAAUGACCCUCGAGGGACCCUUUGUCCUCGGUGCACAGGCUGUAAUCAGCGGGGCUCCGGGGGCUCUGGCCUAAUUUGGAGGGACAGGUUUUAUCAUCACCCUUGAUUCGGGUGACCCAAUCUGACAGGCCCACGACCCCCUGUAUGCGGGGUCCACGUCAGAGAUGGGCUUCCUCCCAGCGGCCCACCCACAGCCAGACCCCCGCUUGGAUGGGCCUGUGAUCGGGUUCUCGGGAGGAGCAGGAUAUUGAUUAGAUCAGUGAAUGGUGUGGAGGCAGCUCUCCCCAGGCACGUGCUCCCGACCACCCACCAGCAAGCGUCUGUUGCCUGCCGGCGCCAGGGCUGGGUGGGGACUCUGGGACAGGCUGGCUGCGCCGGGAAGCGUUUUGGCUGCCUCCGGCGUGAAGUCGCGGAAACGUGUUUGCACCCCGAUCCCCAUGUUCUGGGUCAGCAGGCCCAUUCGAGGUCAAGGGGUGGGUGAAGGCUGACGAGACAAACCCAGGGACUAGCUCCUGAGUCCCAAAACCUGUCCUCACCCACCCAGGAGUCCUCUGCACGCUCUCCAGGGUGUGCGGUGCGUGGCUGCUGGGUUUGGGUGCAUUAGAGCCUGAGGCAAGGGUUUGAGUCUGAAUUCU
rnacentral:lncRNA from 1 species